GGGGGGGGGGGGGGGGGGGGGGGGGGGGGGGGGGGGGGGGGGGGGGGGGGGGGGGGGGGGGGGGGGGGGGGGGGGGGGGGGGGGGGGGGGGGGGGGGGGGGGGGGGGGGGGGGGGAUGGGGACAGGCACGGCAGGGUGCCACACCCCUGAGAGCUGGCACCUGCGGGAAGUGUCACUGUCACUGCAGGAAGUGUCACUGCAGGCAGGUUCCUUGGCUUGCACACACCUGCAGCAGCACCUGCGCCUGCUCUCUCCAGCCAAACCNUUGCACACACCUGCAGCAGCACCUGCGCCUGCUCUCUCCAGCCAAACCCUUGUGUGCCCCUGUGCCCAGCUGUGCCCAGCUGUGCCCCCAGCCCCUGUCCCCGUGCCCCAGCAGGGACACCACACUGAGCCUAGGCACACCGGGCUCCCCCUGUCCCUCGGGUGGCGCUUUUUGCCAUCACCGGGUGUAAAUCUCAGCGAUUUUUAAAUGUUCCCUGAAGGCGAUUUCCCUGUUCUCUAAGGGAAGGAUGAGUGAGUGCUGUGAUUUGUACACUUUUAUCAGUUUUCCUGAAAUGCCUGCUGCUUUUUUCUAUUAAAAAUCAGGGUAUUUUAAUGCACCGAGAAGAAACACGUGGUUUUUCUCUAACUGUUAUAAAUGAGAAACAAAGUCUCGACAUUCAGCCACAUUUGGAUUGGUUUGUUUUAUAUAGCCAGAGCUGGGGAAACGGGAGGGGUCACAGCCUGACCUUGGUUUGCAGCUCCCUUUUCGUAGUCUGGUUUUCCUUGUAGGAAUCAAUAAUUGUUAUUGAUUUGUUGUAAUAAUUCUGCCAGGUAAGCGGUGGUGGUCAGAGAAACUUCCAAACUUCAGUGGGGCAGCUCUUGGGACAAUUGGUCAUGGAACCAUCUGGUCUUGGUGGAUAAAAAACAGGAGAAGUGGGAAUUCUGAUCUUUAGCAGAUAGUGUGUGAUUGAUUACACAAAGCAGGAAAUCUGAUUCUGCAAAAAACCCUUUCAGACUUAUGGAAAACCCUUUUUUUUUUUUUUUUUUUUUUUUGGGGGGGGGGGGGGGGGGGGGGGGGGGGGGGGGGGGGGGGGGGGGGGGGGGGGGGGGGGGGGGGGGGGGGGGGGGGGGGGGGGGGGGGGGGGGGGGGGGGGG
rnacentral:lncRNA from 1 species